GAAUUGGUUUAUGAUGGUGGUGGGAAUUGAAGGUGACUGGGGGGGGUAGUGAGAAGUGUGUGUGGAAGGGAGAAAUGGAGGGUAGGCAUUGGAUGUCCAGCUUUAAGUCACUGCAUUAAGUGGAAGGAACUUACUAACCAUCCCCAUCUCCCCCUCAACUCUCACCUUACAAAAUCAUGAGGGGCAUAUUUAGGGUGAAUGUGCACAAUCUUUUUCCCAGCGUUAGUGAAUCAAGAACCAGAGGACAUAGAUUUGAAAUGAGAGGAGAGAGAUUUAAUAUGAGACUGAGGAGCAACUUUUUCACCCAGAGGAUGGGAUGCAUGUCAGCCAGACAAUCUACUCCAGCACAGCUCCAUGGUUCUCAGUAACAGGCCUGUAAUUUGGUUACGAUGGCAAAGAUGUCACCUACUUGGAUUUCUCUGCGAGGAAAUUUGUGGUUGGUAUUCCAUUGUUGGAAGCUCUCCUCAGUGGCCUGAACCACCACAGCUCCUGCACUGACGUUAAAGUCGACUGUACCGGGCAGUUUGUCCCUAUAAUUGCAGAGAAUGAAAAUGGAAUGUUCUGACCCUGAAUGGACAGACUCGUGAUUGCAUCAUCAGGUUCCUCCCUGGUGCUCAAGAAGCCAUUGGUGGCCACUGGAAGAGGAAAGUUUGCCUUGUGUUCAUGAUGGAGCUGACUGAGUCUACAACCCUCUGCAGGUUCUUUCAGUCCUGAGCAUUGGAGCCAUAACCAGUCAGAAUGCUCUCCACAAUACACUUGCAGAAAUUUGCUAGAGUCUUUGGAACAUUCAAAACUCCUCGAAUUCUCUUGGGGUAUAGGCACUGGCAUGUUGGGCUCAGGACAGAUCCUCUGAGAUGCUGGCUCCCAGGAACUUGAAGCUGCUCACCUUUUCCACAGCUGACCCUCCAUUGAGGACUGAUGUAUGUUUUCUUCGACAUCAUAAGUUAUAGGAGUAGAAUGAGGCUCAAUUCUUCUCUACCAUUUCAUCACUGAUUUAUUAUCCCUCUCAACCUAUUCUCCUCGUAACCUUUGAUGCCCUUACUAAUCAAGAACCUGUCAACCUCUGCUUUAAGUAUACUGAAUGUCUUGGCCUCCACAGUUAUCUGUGGUAAUGAAUUCCAGAUUCUCCACCCUCCGGGUGACGCACCUUCAAUAACUUCAAAAGACUGAAGUAGGGUAAAUACUGAAAGGCUUUUAUUCGCAGUAAAAUACGACUUCCAUGCUGAGUGUCUGCCCCUGGACUGAGGGGGAGGG